GAAACGAUGUGGGAAGGCUCAGACAGCCAGGAUGUUGGCUUAGAAGCAGCCAUCAUUUAAAGAAAGCGUAAUAGCUCACUGGUCGAGUCGGCCUGCGCGGAAGAUGUAACGGGGCUAAACCAUGCACCGAAGCUGCGGCAGCGACACUAUGUGUUGUUGGGUAGGGGAGCGUUCUGUAAGCCGUUGAAGGUGUGUCGUGAGGCAUGCUGGAGGUAUCAGAAGUGCGAAUGCUGACAUAAGUAACGAUAAAGCGGGUGAAAAGCCCGCUCGCCGGAAGACCAAGGGUUCCUGUCCAACGUUAAUCGGGGCAGGGUGAGUCGACCCCUAAGGCGAGGCCGAAAGGCGUAGUCGAUGGGAAACAGGUUAAUAUUCCUGUACUUGGUGUUACUGCGAAGGGGGGACGGAGAAGGCUAUGUCGGCCGGGCGACGGUUG
rnacentral:rRNA from 1 species